GACGAACGCUGGCGGCGUGCUUAACACAUGCAAGUCGAACGGAAAGGCCCUGCUUUUGUGGGGUGCUCGAGUGGCGAACGGGUGAGUAACACGUGAGUAACCUGCCCUUGACUUUGGGAUAACUUCAGGAAACUGGGGCUAAUACCGGAUAGGAGCUCCUGCUGCAUGGUGGGGGUUGGAAAGUUUCGGCGGUUGGGGAUGGACUCGCGGCUUAUCAGCUUGUUGGUGGGGUAGUGGCUUACCAAGGCUUUGACGGGUAGCCGGCCUGAGAGGGUGACCGGCCACAUUGGGACUGAGAUACGGCCCAGACUCCUACGGGAGGCAGCAGUGGGGAAUAUUGCACAAUGGGCGGCAGCCUGAUGCAGCAACGCCGCGUGCGGGAUGACGGCCUUCGGGUUGUAUACCGCUUUCGCCUGUGACGAAGCGUGAGUGACGGUAAUGGGUAAAGAAGCACCGGCUAACUACGUG
rnacentral:rRNA from 1 species